CCACAGGGAACCUUCCAGAAGGCGUGGCCACCUGGUUUCUGUGCUGUUGUCAAGGCGGAUGGGGGGGAGGGGGCAGGUGACGCCCCAGGGCUAGCGACAGGGCCUCUGGGAAGCUCUGGAAAGGGCCACCUGCUGACAGUGAUCAGGGUGGGGGCAGGGGGAUGGGAGAGGGAACCAGAGACGUUUAGUCACACGCAUCCUCGGUUUUGUGGAAGGAAAGUGGAGAAAAGGUGCAGUGUUGCAGGGAGAUGAGGGUCCGGGGAGGCCCUGCCGUGAGGUUGGAGGGGUCAUGACGUGUCACAAUGAUCCACCAGAGGAUGCAGAGAAGGGGCUGGGGCUUCAGGGAAGCAGGAAGAACAAAGGCCCGGGUCGGGUGGUCCUCAGAGAGACACGGAGGAAAGGGGUGAGCACGCAGGUGAACCGGAGGGAGCGGCCAGAGAUUUUGCUCUUGCUUCUCAUUAUAGACUGUACCAAGCUCGCAGACGUGUGGGCUAAUUGAUCAUCGUGAUCCGCCAAGUCGAGCUUAUGUGAAGAGGUGUCCGUUCAUUGUCAGCCCCUAAAGCACGGAAAAGUCGGCCACUUGCUCGGAAUCGGUUCCUCGGAGCAGGACAGCUUGGCAAGAGGCUUCAUAUCCCACCCGUGCGAAAGGAAGGGGAGGCGAGGGAGAGGACUUUUCCCUUUAGAUAACCACAAACAAUCUCCAAAUAACCCCUCCGUUUCAGGGAGCGACGCAUCUCUGUUUGCCAACCUGUGUUUGAACAGUCGGAAUCACUACCUGAGCAGGCCCGUGGGUCCAUGCCCUCGGCUGUGUGCAUCUGAUUCGGAGUGAGCUUGAGUUGUCACCGUGGGGCCACAGGCCAGCGUCCAAGAAAUGACAUUUGGAGCGAAGACGAAUGAUCCCCAGAGCAGACAUUUGCGAUGGUUAUGAUAAGGUCCCGGAACCUUACCUCCCUCGAGGAGGCCAGAAAUAUUUGUGUAAAACCAGAUCAAAUAAAAGGCCUCUCCCUGGUCCCUCA
rnacentral:lncRNA from 1 species